GGAACCAACCCAUUUAACUAUAUGAACUGAAUCCUGGCCUUGAGAUUUUGAUAUCACUGGUUUGCUGCUCACCAUCUCCAACAAAGAAGCUUACCAGAAAGGCGCUGUGCUAAGCUUCCGUUGUCCAUAUACUCAUAAACGAGGCCAAGUUGACUUGGACUUGGCCAUCCAUUUGAAUUUAAACAGUGGACAGAGAAUAUCUACCCAAACAUCUGCAUCAU